GCCACCUUAGCUUAGUGGUAAAGCGCUAGUCUUGUAAACUAGAGAGCAUGGGUUCGAUCCCCAUAGGUGGCU
rfam:Anncaliia algerae PRA109 cont4.1014, whole genome shotgun sequence.